GAGUCUUAAGUUAAGUAAAACUUUGGGUUUUCAAAUCCCAGGAUGUGGUGAAGAUGCCGCAGAUUCUAA
rnacentral:tRNA from 1 species